rnacentral:lncRNA from 1 species
CCUUCAGACCCAAUUAUGCGGGCAGCGUGGACCAGAGCUGUUCCCCGGAAGGACUUCUUGCCAACGAAGUACACAGUGCUCUGUGAAAAGCAUUUCUUGCCAUCGGAUUACUUGAAGACGACAUCUUACACAGACGUCAAGACAGGAAAAGUUGUCGAAGUCACCCUGAAGAACAGUCGUCUGAAGCAAACUGCAGUGCCGAGCUUGUUUCCCAACUGCCCUGCCUACUUAUCGCGUCCGCAACCAUGCGUUCGGGAAGCACCGGAUGUGAAAAGAGCGCGAUUGGAAGCCGCUUGUUUGCACAAUGCAAUAAUGCUUUCGCUGCAAACGCAAGCAGAAGAGGAAA